rnacentral:rRNA from 1 species
GACGAACGCUGGCGGCGUGCUUAACACAUGCAAGUCGAACGAUGAAGCCUAGCUUGCUAGGUGGAUUAGUGGCGAACGGGUGAGUAAUACGUGAGUAACCUACCUUUAACUCUGGGAUAAGCCCGGGAAACUGGGUCUAAUACCGGAUACGACCAAUCUCCGCAUGGGGUGUUGGUGGUAAGCGUUAUGUAGUGGUUAUAGAUAGGCUCACGGCCUAUCAGGUUGUUGGUGAGGGAACGGCCCACCAAGGCGACGACGGGUAGGGGGCCGGAGAGGGUGAAACACCAGACUGGGACGGGGACACGGACCAGACUCCGACGGGAGGCAGGAGGGAGGAAGAGGGGGGAAUGGGCGAGAGCCGGAACCAGCCAAGUAGCGUGAAGGAUGACUGGCUUAUGGAGUGUAAACGGCUUUGAGACGGGAAUAACAAGAGCCACGUGUGGCGCCCUGCAUGGACCGUAUGAAUAAGCAUCGGCUAACGCCGGG